rnacentral:rRNA from 1 species
UACGUAGGGUGCAAGCGUUGUCCGGAAUUAUUGGGCGUAAAGAGCUCGUAGGCGGUCUGUCGCGUCUGCUGUGAAAACUCGGGGCUUAACCCCGGGCCUGCAGUGGGUACGGGCAGACUAGAGUGCGGUAGGGGAGACUGGAAUUCCUGGUGUAGCGGUGAAAUGCGCAGAUAUCAGGAGGAACACCGGUGGCGAAGGCGGGUCUCUGGGCCGUAGCUGACGCUGAGGCGCGAAAGCCAGGGGAGCAAACGGG